rnacentral:tRNA from 1 species
GCGGUAAUAGCUCAGUUGGUAGAGCACUAGCUUCCCAAGCUGGGGGUCGCGAGUUCGAGCUUCGUUUACCGCU